rnacentral:rRNA from 1 species
CACGUAGGGGGCGAGCGUUGUCCGGAAUCAUUGGGCGUAAAGCGCGUGUAGGCGGCCCGGUAAGUCCGCUGUGAAAGUCCAGGGCUCAACCCUGGGAUGCCGGUGGAUACUGUCGGGCUCGAGUCCGGAAGAGGCGAGUGGAAUUCCUGGUGUAGCGGUGGAAUGCGCAGAUAUCAGGAGGAACACCAAUAGCGAAGGCAGCUCGCUGGGACGGUACUGACGCUAAGGCGCGAAAGCGUGGGGAGCGAACAGG